UCCUUGGAAAAUCUUAUCUGAUUCAGGAUCAAUUUAUCGGUUACACUCCCCUAUCACCAGUGAUUCUUUGUGAACUGACAUUCUGAAAAAGGUAUACUGUUGACUAUCAAUUUGCAUGAUUAGUUACAGAUGUCGACUCGGACUACUGCAAAAGACAAUAAUUCAGUUCACUGAUUUAGAUUGAAUAGUGGUUCGGUUAAUCCCCUCUUCCCCAAACAAGGCAAGAACAUUAAAGAUAAAGGGAAACUAUAAACAAAAGAAAUUAUCAACAAAAAUAGAUUUACAGACGUCAACAAAGCCUAAAUGGUCAGACAUCUUGGUUUUCAUGAUCAUCAUUCAACAGGUCAAUACUGAACAGCAAACUUAAAGUUGAUAUUUUUCUAUAUAGUGUGACUUUUUUAUUAAUUUGAAAUGGAAUGUGUUUUUUUUUCCUACAUAAGAAAGAGGAAAUUUCAACAUAAUGACUAUAAACAAAAAGGAGUCAUAUCAUCAUGAUCAUAGAUGCUCAAGAACUUAAUCAUGUAAAUACAACAACGUAAUUAUCAAUUGAAAGAAGGGAGGAAUGAAAAAAUAUAUCAGUAUUUUGUUGUCCAAAUGAACUUGCUUUGUCCACUCAUUUAAAUCGCUCCAUCCAAUAAAGAUGUACCGAGGAAGAUUUU